rnacentral:rRNA from 1 species
UACAGAGGUCCCGAGCGUUGUUCGGAUUCAUUGGGCGUAAAGGGUGCGUAGGCGGUCUUCUAAGUUUGAUGUGAAAUCCCGGGGCUCAACCCUGGAAUUGCAUUGAAUACUGGAGGACUAGAGUACCGGAGAGGAAACUGGAAUUUACGGUGUAGCAGUGAAAUGCGUAGAGAUCGUAAGGAAGACCAGUGGCGAAGGCGGGUCUCUGGGCCGAUACUGACGCUGAGGAGCGAAAGCGUGGGGAGCGAACAGG